AGCAUGGUCUUAGCUUGCUAAGGCCGAUGGCGACCGGCGCACGGGUGAGUAACACGUAUCCAACCUGCCGUCUACUCUUGGACAGCCUUCUGAAAGGAAGAUUAAUACAAGAUGGCAUCAUGAGUCCACAUGUUCACAUGAUUAAAGGUAUUCCGGUAGACGAUGGGGAUGCGUUCCAUUAGAUAGUAAGCGGGGUAACGGCCCACCUAGUCUUCGAUGGAUAGGGGUUCUGAGAGGAAGGUCCCCCACAUUGGAACUGAGACACGGUCCAAACUCCUACGGGAGGCAGCAGUGAGGAAUAUUGGUCAAUGGGCGAGAGCCUGAACCAGCCAAGUAGCGUGAAGGAUGACUGCCCUAUGGGUUGUAAACUUCUUUUAUAAAGGAAUAAAGUCGGGUAUGUAUACCCGUUUGCAUGUACUUUAUGAAUAAGGAUCGGCUAACUCCGUGCCAGCAGCCGCGGUAAUACGGAGGAUCCGAGCGUUAUCCGGAUUUAUUGGGUUUAAAGGGAGCGUAGAUGGAUGUUUAAGUUGGUUGUGAAAGUUUGCGGCUCAACCGUAAAAUUGCAGUUGAUACUGGAUAUCUU
rnacentral:rRNA from 1 species